GUGCCAGCAGCCGCGGUAAUACCAGCACCCCGAGUGGUUGGGACGAUUAUUGGGCCUAAAGCAUCCGUAGCCGGUUCUGCAAGUCCUCCGUUAAAUCCACCUGCUCAACAGAUGGGCUGCGGGGGAUACCGCAGAGCUAGGAGGCGGGAGAGGCAAACGGUACUCAGUGGGUAGGGGUAAAAUCCAUUGAUCCACUGAAGACCACCAGUGGCGAAGGCGGUUUGCCAGAACGCGCUCGACGGUGAGGGAUGAAAGCUGGGGGAGCAAACCGGAUUAGAAACCCUCGUAGUCC
rnacentral:rRNA from 1 species